rnacentral:rRNA from 1 species
UACGAAGGGGGCUAGCGUUGUUCGGAAUUACUGGGCGUAAAGCGUAUGCAGGCGGAUCGUUAAGUCGGGGGUGAAAUCCCGAGGCUCAACCUCGGAACUGCCUUCGAUACUGGCGACCUUCGAGUCCGGGAGAGGUGAGUGGAACUCCGAGUGUAGAGGUGAAAUUCGUAGAUAUUCGGAAGAACACCAGUGGCGAAGGCGGCUCACUGGCCCGGUACUGACGCUGAGAUACGAAAAGCGUGGGGGAGCAAACAGG